rnacentral:rRNA from 1 species
AUUGAACGCUGGCGGCAGGCCUAACACAUGCAAUUCGAACGAGUGGCGGACGGGUGCGUAAUGUCUGGGAAACUGCCUGAUGGUGGGGGAUAACUACUGGAAACGGUAGCUAAUACCGCAUCCCAUCGGAUGUGCCCCGAUGGGAUUAGCUAGUAGGUGGGGCAAAGGCUCACCUAGGCGACGAUCCCUAGCUGGUCUGAGAGGAUGACCCUCCACACUGGAACUGAGACACGGGCCAGACUCCUACGGGAGGCAGCAGUGGGGAAUAUGGCACAAUGGGCGCAAGCCUGAUGCAGCCAUGCCGCGUGUAUGAAGAAUGCCUUCGGGUUGUAAAGUACUGGCAGCGGGGAGGCGUUACCCGCAGAAGAAGCACCGGCUAACUCCGUGCCAGCAGCCGCGGUGAUUC